rnacentral:rRNA from 1 species
AGUAACGCGUGAGGAACCUGCCUCAAAGAGGGGGACAACAGUUGGAAACGACUGCUAAUACCGCAUAAGCCCACGGCUCGGCAUCGAGCAGAGGGAAGAGGAGUGAUCCGCUUUGAGAUGGCCUCGCGUCCGAUUAGCUAGUUGGUGAGGUAACGGCCCAUCAAGGCAACGAUCGGUAGCCGGACUGAGAGGUUGAACGGCCACAUUGGGACUGAGACACGGCCCAG